UCAGAUGCAGAGUCAGCAGCCGGUGCUUCUGGUUCCUCUUCCUGUGCAGCAGCAGAUCUCAGCGCUCCUCUGGACGGACGGGAGGACGGAGACCAGCGGCAGUCUGAGCGGGAGGAGGGACGACCUGUGACUCAGUCACAUCGUUAACCUUUUAAUGAAUGUUACACAAAAUAAAUCCCGUAAAACGA